rnacentral:lncRNA from 1 species
AGUAGUCCACAUUUUUUUGAUUUUUUGAUUUUUAUUUUUAUUCCUUUGAUUUUCAUUAAUUCAUAUUAAUUUUAAUAUUGAUCCAAAAAAUAUGAGAGGUUCACCAAAAUAAUUUAAAUAAAAUCCUCUUUCAUUUUCUGAAUUAAAAUUAUUUUUUUGAUCAUUAUUAAUAUUUUUCAUGAUUUAAUUGAUUUUGUGAAUAUUUUUAAUUGUUUAAAACUACUUUUAAG